UCCCGACCUGAAACUUCUAGAGACCCC
rnacentral:piRNA from 1 species